GUGCAAUCUAACUCAAAAUUUAAUCUUUAUUGGGAUCAAACUUAACGUAUUGGAAUCUAAUCUCAUUCAAGUCGAACCUAAUCACAAAUUAGCCCAAGCAUUGCUUAGUUCAAGUCAAGUAAUAUAUGAUCUCAUUGAGAUCAACAUAUCAUUUUAUCAAGCACAACUGGAAUAAUGAUAAUGACUGAUGAACUAAGAGAUCAGUAUUAUAGAACCAAACGUGCUCUUGAGAUAAAUGCAGUUAAAUAUGGCUAGGCUAGUAUGAUCCUUGUGGGGAAUCAUGUUGACAUAAUUUAAUUAUGUUAUGUACGACAAUAAGAGAACCUGAAAUUGGCCAACAAAAUCCUAAGAUUAACGUUGAUCAUCUCACAUCACAAUAUAAAAUAUGCCUUAAGCACCUAUCUAUAUAUACUUUACACUCUAUAGCAAUUUCACUAUUUUAUUGUCAAAACUUUUGCAACAUUUUAUAACUUGAAUGUUGAAAUGGCUACUGAUCCCAGUUUGUCAUUAGUUUCAAGUAUUCACAAUCCAAUUACUUAAAUCUAGUGACUCAAAUACUCACAAUAACAUUAAGUGUAUAGAUUAUUGAUUCGUUAGAUUAACUCAAUAAAUCGAUAUGAGUUUAAUAACGCUGUAAAAUAUAAAUUUCAGUUGUACUUCUUAAUAAAAGGUGAUAUAUUUAUGUGAGCAUAACACAUGUAUCCAGUUGGCAAUCUCUCAAAACUUUAUCUUUAACCACCUUAAUUAGAUGGCUAGAAAAUAAAAGUGACAGAAAAAUAAAAGUAUAAAAUAAAAGAAAUUUUCAUCUUUUACCUAUUUGAAGUUGGAUAAAAUAAGUUAAGAAAAAUAUUAUGUAAGCCCACGAGUAACUUUCCCUCCAAAUGGGAGAGAAAGUGAGUAAUAAACAU
rnacentral:misc_RNA from 1 species